rnacentral:rRNA from 1 species
CCUACGGGCGGCAGCAGUGGGGAAUAUUGGGCAAUGGGCGCAAGCCUGACCCAGCAACGCCGCGUGAAGGAAGAAGGCUUUCGGGUUGUAAACUUCUUUUCUCAGGGACGAAGCAAGUGAUGGUACCUGAGGAAUAAGCCACGGCCAACUACGUGCCAGCAGCCGCGGUAAUACGUAGGCGGCAAGCGUUAUCCGGAUUUACUGGGUGUAAAGGGCGUGUAGGCGGGAAAGCAAGUCAGAUGUGAAAACCAUGGGCUCAACCUGUGGACUGCAUUUGAAACUGUUUUUCUUGAGUGCUGGAGAGGCAGACGGAAUUCCUAGUGUAGCGGUGAAAUGCGUAGAUAUUAGGAGGAACACCAGUGGCGAAGGCGGUCUGCUGGACAGCAACUGACGCUGAGGCGCGAAAGCGUGGGGAGCAAACAGGAUUAGAUACCCUGGUAGUC